rnacentral:rRNA from 1 species
CCCUUAGAUGUUCUGGGCCGCACGCGUGCUACACUGAGUAAUUCAAUGGGUAAGGGAACGCUAGAGCAUUACCUAAUCUUGAAAUUUGCUCGUGAUGGGGAUCGACGGUUGCAAUUUUCUGUCAUGAACGAGGAAUACCUUGUAAGCGCGGGUCAUCAUCCCGCGCUGAAUACGUCCCUGCCCUUUGUACACACCGCCCGUCGCUCCUACCGAUUGAGUGGUCCGGUGAGGCUUUGGGAUCUGAGCGGAAAGAGCGUUUCGCUGUUUCUGCUCGGAAAACUCAGUCGAACCUUAUCAUUUAGAGGAAGGAGAAGUCGUAACA